GAUGAACGCUGGCGGCGUGCCUAAUACAUGCAAGUCGAGCGAACAGACGAGGAGCUUGCUCCUCUGACGUUAGCGGCGGACGGGUGAGUAACACGUGGAUAACCUACCUAUAAGACUGGGAUAACUUCGGGAAACCGGCGCUAAUACCGGAUAAUAUAUUGAACCGCAUGGUUCAAUAGUGAAAGACGGUUUUGCUGUCACUUAUAGAUGGAUCCGCGCCGCAUUAGCUAGUUGGUAAGGUAACGGCUUACCAAGGCAACGAUGCGUAGCCGACCUGAGAGGGGGAUCGGCCACACUGGAACUGAGACACGGACCAGACUCCUACGGGAGGCAGCAGUAGGGAAUCUUCCGCAAUGGGCGAAAGCCUGACGGAGCAACGCCGCGUGAGUGAUGAAGGUCUUCGGAUCGUAAAACUCUGUUAUUAGGGAAGAACAAAUGUGUAAGUAACUAUGCACGUCUUGACGGUACCUAAUCAGAAAGCCACGGCUAACUACGUG
rnacentral:rRNA from 1 species